GACGAACGCUGGCGGCGUGCUUAACACAUGCAAAUCGAACGGAAAGGCCCUGCUUUUGUGGGGUGCUCGAGUGGCGAACGGGUGAGUAGCACGUGAGUAACCUGCCCUUGACUUUGGGAUAACUUCAGGAAACUGGGGCUAAUAACGGAUAGGAGCUCCUGCUGCAUGGUGGGGGGUGGAAAGUGUCGGCGGUUGGGGAUGGACUCGCGGCUUAUCAGCUUGUUGGUGGGGUAGUGGCUUACCAAGGCUUUGACGGGUAGCCGGCCUGAGAGGGUGACCGGCCACAUUGGGACUGAGAUACGGCCCAGACUCCUACGGGAGGCAGCAGUGGGGAAUAUUGCACAAUGGGCGGAAGCCUGAUGCAGCAACGCCGCGUGCGGGAUGACGGCCUUCGGGUUGUAAACCGCUUUCGCCUGUGACGAAGCGUGAGUGACGGUAAUGGGUAAAGAAGCACCGGCUAACUACGUG
rnacentral:rRNA from 1 species